UGGCGGUGACUAGAGGACGUGGCAAUGGAAGAUGAAGCGAUAGGGGAUCGCGAUGUGGGUGGUUCAAUUUCAGGACGAGGGACUACAGUAAGAUCAAAUGCUACCGAUAUGACAAAUUGGAGCAUCAUGUCAAAGAUUGUCCUCAACUCAAGGAUCGGAUGAUGGCUAUUAUGGCGGCGGCUAGUAGCGACACUGAGAUCGUUGAUGCGCUUAUGGUCUCAGAUGAGGUAUCUACUCCUUCCCAGCAGUAGAUUUUAGACUCUGCUUGUU
rnacentral:lncRNA from 1 species